rnacentral:rRNA from 1 species
CAGUAGCCGCGGGAAUACAGAGGGUGCGAGCGUUAAUCGGAUUUACUGGGCGUAAAGCGUGCGUAGGCGGCUUUUAAGUCGGAUGUGAAAUCCCUGAGCUUAACUUAGGAAUUGCAUUCGAUACUGGGAAGCUAGAGUAUGGGAGAGGAUGGUAGAAUUCCAGGUGUAGCGGUGAAAUGCGUAGAGAUCUGGAGGAAUACCAAUGGCGAAGGCAGCCAUCUGGCCUAAUACUGACGCUGAGGUACGAAAGCAUGGGGAGCAAACAGGAUUAGAUACCCCCGUAGUCCCUGUCUCUUAUACA